GGCGGGGCCCGGGGAGCCCAGUGGCUGGGGCGGCGGGGGGCGCGGCGCGGGGCGGAGCGGGGCUCCAGCCCGAGCCUUUCAUCUGGGCGGAAUUCCUGCGCCCUGCUCCAGCGCCCCCCGCCCGGCCGCCGCGCCCCAGCCCGGC
rnacentral:miRNA from 1 species